CCUGGCAGAGCUAAGGGGGCUUCAAUCCUUAUUCCUUAUCCCCAUCUUCGCCCAGGCUAACGGGGCCUUACUUAUUCAGGGGGGGAGCCUCGAGAAGCACUGUUGAGAAGAAGAUCCUAGGCCCCUCUUCAUUCUCUACAGGGUUUCUUUCUUCAAUAUAGGUGACAACGAGCGAGGCAGAGAUGGAAGAGAUCAAAGACGAGAAUAAGAAGCCAGUAAACUUCCUUUUUGAUCAUUUUGUUUGAUAGAGGGGGAUAGAAAAAAUGGACAAAAC